AACGAACGCUGGCGGCAUGCCUAACACAUGCAAGUCGAACGAGACCUUCGGGUCUAGUGGCGCACGGGUGCGUAACGCGUGGGAACCUGCCCUUAGGUUCGGAAUAACUCCCCAAAGGGGUUCCUAUUCCCGAUUAUUUUCUUCGACCAAAGAUUUAUUGCCCUUGGAUGGGGCCGCGUUGGAUUAGCUAGUUGGUAGGGUAAAAGCCUACCAAGGCGACGAUCCAUAGCUGGUCUGAGAGGAUGAUCAGCCACACUGGGACUGAGACACGGCCCAGACUCCUACGGGAGGCAGCAGUGGGGAAUAUUGGACAAUGGGCGAAAGCCUGAUCCAGCAAUGCCGCGUGAGUGAUGAAGGCCUUAGGGUUGUAAAGCUCUUUUACCCGGGAUGAUAAUGACAGUACCGGGAGAAUAAGCUCCGGCUAACUCCGUG
rnacentral:rRNA from 1 species